rnacentral:rRNA from 1 species
ACGAAGGGUGCAAACGUUGCUCGGAAUUAUUGGGCGUAAAGCGCGCGUAGGCGGCUUGGCAAGUCGGAUGUGAAAUCCCUCGGCUCAACCAAGGAAGUGCAUCCGAAACUGCCGAGCUUGAGUACUUAAGAGGAUCGCGGAAUUCCCGGUGUAGUGGUGAAAUGCGUAGAUAUCGGGAGGAACACCAGUGGCGAAGGCGGCUACCUGGCCCAUUCUUGACGCUGAGGCGCGAAAGCUAGGGGAGCGUACGGGA